CCUACGGGCGGCAGCAGUGGGGAAUAUUGGGCAAUGGGCGAAAGCCUUACCCAGCAAUACCGCGUGAGUGAAGAAGGUCUUCGGAUUGUAAACCUCUUUGAUCAGGGACGAACAGAUGACCGUACCUUAAGAACAAACCCCGGCUAACUACGGGCCAGCAGCCCCCGUCAAACGGAAGGGGCGAGCGUUGUCCGGAAUGACUGGGCGUAAAGGGUGCGUUAGCGGCAUAAUAAGUUAGAAGUGGAAUACCCAGAGCUUAACUCGAGUUCUGCUUCUAAAACUGUUGAGCUUGAGUGCGGGAGAGGUUAAUGGAAUUCCUAGUGUAGCGGUGGAAUGCGUAGAUAUUAGGAGGAACACCAGAGGCGAAGGCGAUUAACUGGACCGUAACUGACGCUGAGGCACGAAAGUGUGGGUAGCGAACAGGAUUAGAUACCCGUGUAGUC
rnacentral:rRNA from 1 species